rnacentral:rRNA from 1 species
AUGAUUGCAUGUGGUUAUUCAUCAAUAUGCAACUCGUUGCAUAUUGAGCUCCACUUGAUUUGUAGUAUUGUUUGUUGCACUUUGCCAUGCCAUGACUCAUUAAAUCGGACAUGCAUCAUACUUGAUUCUGCAUCAUGCCAUGUUUAUGUGAUGGUUGUUUACCCUGUUGUUUGCUUCUUUCCCAUGAUGCUUCUUCUUGAUAGUUCCGGUUAUGUUGCGAUUGUGAGGAUUCGUUCAGUUAUGUUGGUUCGUCUACUUCAUGGAUUCGGUCUUCUUCCUAGCGGAAUUUCAGGCAAGAUGACCGUCACCUUGGAUCUCACUACUAUCUUUGCUAUGCUAGUUGUCUUGAUGUUGUCGCUAUGUCGCGCUACCCACCACUUGUUUAUCAAGCCUCCCAAAUUGCCCUGA